rnacentral:lncRNA from 1 species
GAAGGAGUGUUUAACAAAGAGCCAUUUGGCCAACUAUAUAUUACUGCAACUUAGUCCUUUAUUGUUGGAUGUAAGUAUUCUUUUUUCUCCUUUGAAUAGCGCCGCCAUGACAAGCCUUUAUCAGUUAAGGACUGUACUCAGCUAAAAACCCGGUCACAGUAGCUUCACCAUCCAGGCUUUAUUCUUGUUUGUAGAGGAACCCAGCGCUGAGAAGUCAUUAGGGACAGUCUUCUUCCACCUUUCUGCUCUACCACCGUCCAGGUAAAGCUUUCAUCCCCAAGGCUAUAAGAGCUGCUGGAGCGCGAGACAUUACAGCAGAAUUUCCAAGCAGGAAGCAGGAGCCCCAAGUCGACUGCAUUUCCAAGGGCUUCGCGCUGUCAUUAUCUUCUGCGGACUUGCCCCCCAGGAACCAAGUAGCCUGUCGCCUUCGCUGGAAGGUUCGUUCCCACCUCCACCCACAGACUCCCCUAGAAGUGUCUGGCCCUCUUGGAAUCUCCCCUAACAAUUCCAAUCAUCCCAGCUGUCACUUCCAAGCACCGCUGUUCUCGCUCACCGGGGUCCGAACGCCUGGGGUCCU